AGUGAACGCUGGCGGCGUGCUUAACACAUGCAAGUCGAACGAGAACGGAUUAUAGCUUGCUAUAAUUGUCAGCUAAGUGGCGCACGGGUGAGUAAUAUAUAGAUAACCUGCCCUCUAGAAAGGAAUAACAGUUGGAAACGACUGCUAAUGCCCUAUAUGCCUUUAAUACAUAAGUAUGCAAGGGAAACGCUUUAGUGCUAGAGGAUGGGUCUGUAUGGUAUCAGCUUGUUGGUGAGGUAAUGGCUCACCAAGGCUAUGACGCCUAACUGGUUUGAGAGGAUGAUCAGUCACACUGGAACUGAGACACGGUCCAGACUCCUACGGGAGGCAGCAGUGGGGAAUAUUGCACAAUGGACGAAAGUCUGAUGCAGCAACGCCGCGUGGAGGAUGACACAUUUCGGUGCGUAAACUCCUUUUAUAUAGGAAGAUAAUGACGGUACUAUAUGAAUAAGCACCGGCUAACU
rnacentral:rRNA from 1 species